rnacentral:rRNA from 1 species
UUGCACGCUGGCGGCAUGCUUUACACAUGCCAGUCGAACGGCAGCGCGGGCUUCGGCCUGGCGGCGAGUGGCGAACGGGUGAGUAAUGCAUCGGAACGUGCCCAGUAGUGGGGGAUAGCCCGGCGAAAGCCGGAUUAAUACCGCAUACGACCUGAGGGUGAAAGCGGGGGACCGAAAGGCCUCGCGCUAUUGGAGCGGCCGAUGUCGGAUUAGCUAGUUGGUGGGGUAAAGGCUUACCAAGGCGACGAUCCGUAGCUGGUCUGAGAGGACGACCAGCCACACUGGGACUGAGACACGGCCCAGACUCCUACGGGAGGCAGCAGUGGGGAAUUUUGGACAAUGGGGGCAACCCUGAUCCAGCCAUGCCGCGUGCGGGAAGAAGGCCUUCGGGUUGUAAACCGCUUUUGUUCGGGAAGAAAUCCUCUGGGCUAAUACCCCGGGGGGAUGACGGUACCGGAAGAAUAAGCACCGGCUAACUACGUG